CACUCCUGCGGGAGGCAGCAGUGGGGAAUUUUGGACAAUGGGCGAAAGCCUGAUCCAGCAAUGCCGCGUGUGUGAAGAAGGCCUUCGGGUUGUAAAGCACUUUUGUCCGGAAAGAAAUCCUUGGCUCUAAUACAGUCGGGGGAUGACGGUACCGGAAGAAUAAGCACCGGCUAACUACGUGCCAGCAGCCGCGGUAAUACGUAGGGUGCGAGCGUUAAUCGGAAUUACUGGGCGUAAAGCGUGCGCAGGCGGUUUGCUAAGACCGAGGUGAAAUCCCCGGGCUCAACCUGGGAACUGCAUUGGUGACUGGCAGGCUAGAGUAUGGCAGAGGGGGGUAGAAUUCCACGUGUAGCAGUGAAAUGCGUAGAGAUGUGGAGGAAUACCGAGGGCGAAGGCAGCCCCCUGGGCCAAUACUGACGCUCAUGCACGAAAGCGUGGGGAGCAAACAGGAUUAGAAACCCCGGUAGUCCC
rnacentral:rRNA from 1 species